CCUGGCGGCCGUAGCGCGGUGGUCCCACCUGACCCCAUGCCGAACUCAGAAGUGAAACGCCGUAGCGCCGAUGGUAGUGUGGGGUCUCCCCAUGUGAGAGUAGGGAACCGCCAGGC
rnacentral:rRNA from 1 species